AAGAUAAGGAAAAAAGAACUCCAUUGCUCUUUAUUAUGGUCGACCCUUUCUAUUCUGAUGAAUAAUGAAGUGGGGUUCAGGUUGAGACUUGAGAUGAGCUGAUGCAGCGGUAGAGGGUGAUACUGUCGCCGACAGGGAGCUGGCAGAUCUCGAUCCUGUGAUACCCAACAUUCUUGCGGACGGGUGCGUCCAGCGGACUGGCGGAGCCACCACCGACCCAUUCUUAGAGGGUGUUGUCGUACAGUCGUACCCAAUUACACCCCCCAACCUUCACCAGCCUCUUGUGGUAGUUGAAUAGUUGUCCUUGUCUGUGUCCACAAAUUUGAAAUCAAACGUCCCAAUUAUACUUUCCCUUCAUAUUCACAAAGCCCAAAUAUAAAAAAAAAAAAAAAUCACUAUUUGUUGUUGAUCUAACAAUUAAAGGAAGAAAGACUCAGAGAUGGAUGGCGGAGGGUUAAUAAGGAAGAAAGGAUUAGUUACUUACAUCUUCGAUCAUUUGGUUGAGAAUAGGUAGAGCAGGGCCUUCCCGGAAAUCGCUCUUGGAGUUCAAACUUGUACUAUUGCGGACACUCAAACUUGUACUAUCGCUCAGAGAAGCUCAAAAGGAGGAAGAACUGAAUCAUGAUAUAUUACCAUCUGAGAAGAAUCAAAAAGCUCAGGUGGACGGCGCUUCUGAAGGGAGGAGAAGCGAUUGGAGAGAAAAACGAUGGAGAGGGGACGAGAGAAGAAGACGAAAGAAGAAGAGGAAGGUUUAAUGCCUGCAUACUACUUCGCUGAUUUCAGCUUGUGCAAGGCUCCGAUAUAAUUUCCGACCGGUAUCAGCUUUUCCGAUGUCAUAUUCCACUUAUCAGCACCAACGGGGGCAGAAGGCAUUUUCGUCAUUUCAAAAAGUCAUCCAUUCGGUUUUCAAAAACGUGAGGGGUAAUUAUGUCUUUUUACCAUCAUAGUUGACGGUCUAUUAACGGCAGGUAUCGGAUUGUGGAGUUUUGAAAGUUCGAUACUGAAUUGUCAUGAAGUUAGGGAACAAAUUGAUACAAGACCCAUAGUAAAGAGUACUAAUCGGAAAUUUUCUAUAUAUUAUUUGUCAGGCAUGCGUUGGAAAGGGUAUGGUUGACUCAUUUUUUAAUGUGAUUAUAUUUCCGCUUCUGCAAUUUCUUUUUCUUUUGUAUUUAUGCAGAUAGGUUUGAGUAUAAAUUCGGGUUUAAUUAAUUUUGUUUCUGAUU